UGUCUUCUGACAGCAAUGAAUGCAUCAAUUCAAAACAAUAUGAAGAGUGCAGCCAAAUGCAGUAAUCAUUGCAAAUUGCAGAAUUCCGUGAGUCAUUUUCUUGAAUGUAGGCAUGUUCUUGGGCCACCCCUAAGGACAUCAUUUAUUCAGUGCACCUUU
rnacentral:rRNA from 1 species